UUUUGUAGAAUGAACCGGCGAGUUACGAUUUGAUGCAAGGUUAAGCAGUAAAUGUGGAGCCGUAGCGAAAGCGAGUCUGAAUAGGGCGUUUAGUAUUUGGUCGUAGACCCGAAACCAGGUGAUCUACCCUUGGUCAGGUUGAAGUUCAGGUAACACUGAAUGGAGGACCGAACCGACUUACGUUGAAAAGUGAGCGGAUGAACUGAGGGUAGCGGAGAAAUUCCAAUCGAACCUGGAGAUAGCUGGUUCUCUCCGAAAUAGCUUUAGGGCUAGCCUCAAGUGAUGAUUAUUGGAGGUAGAGCACUGUUUGGACGAGGGGCCCCUCUCGGGUUACCGAAUUCAGACAAACUCCGAAUGCCAAUUAAUUUAACUUGGGAGUCAGAACAUGGGUGAUAAGGUCCGUGUUCGAAAGGGAAACAGCCCAGACCACCAGCUAAGGUCCCAAAAUAUAUGUUAAGUGGAAAAGGAUGUGGCGUUGCCCAGACAACUAGGAUGUUGGCUUAGAAGCAGCCAUCAUUUAAAGAGUGCGUAAUAGCUCACUAGUCGAGUGACACUGCGCCGAAAAUGUACCGGGGCUAAACAUAUUACCGAAGCUGUGGAUUGUCCUUUGGACAAUGGUAGGAGAGCGUUCUAAGGGCGUUGAAGCAUGAUCGUAAGGACAUGUGGAGCGCUUAGAAGUGAGAAUGCCGGUGUGAGUAGCGAAAGACGGGUGAGAAUCCCGUCCACCGAUUGACUAAGGUUUCCAGAGGAAGGCUCGUCCGCUCUGGGUUAGUCGGGUCCUAAGCUGAGGCCGACAGGCGUAGGCGAUGGAUAACAGGUUGAUAUUCCUGUACCACCUAUAAUCGUUUUAAUCGAUGGGGGGACGCAGUAGGAUAGGCGAAGCGUGCGAUUGGAUUGCACGUCUAAGCAGUAAGGCUGAGUAUUAGGCAAAUCCGGUACUCGUUAAGGCUGAGC
rnacentral:rRNA from 1 species